GAUGAAGAACGUAGUGAAAUGCGAUAAUUAAUGUGAAUUGCAGAAUUCAGUGAAUCAUCGAGUCUUUGAACGCACAUUGCGCCGCCUGGUAUUCCGGGGGGCAUGCCUGUCCGAGCGUCAUUGCUGCCCUCAAGCACGGCUUGUGUGUUGGGCUUCCGUCCCUGGCAACGGGGACGGGCCCAAAAGGCAGUGGCGGCACCAUGUCUGGUCCUCGAGCGUAUGGGGCUUUGUCACCCGCUCCCGUAGGUCCAGCUGGCAGCUAGCCUCGCAACCAAUCUUUUUAACCAGGUUGACCUCGGAUCAGGUAGGGAUACCCGCUGAACUUAAGCAUAUCAAUAAGCGGAGGA
rnacentral:misc_RNA from 1 species